GGAAUGCCUAGUAAGCGCAAGUCAUCAGCUUGCGUUGAUUACGUCCCUGCCCUUUGUACACACCGCCCGUCGCUCCUACCGAUUGGGUGUGCUGGUGAAGUGUUCGGAUUGGCAGAGCGGGUGGCAACACUUGCUUUUGCCGAGAAGUUCAUUAAACCCUCCCACCUAGAGGAAGGAGAAGUCGUAACAAGGUUUCCGUAGGUGAACCUGCGGAAGGAUCAUUG
rnacentral:rRNA from 1 species